rnacentral:rRNA from 1 species
UACGAAGGGGGCUAGCGUUGUUCGGAAUCACUGGGCGUAAAGCGCACGUAGGCGGCGCGUUAAGUCAGGGGUGAAAUCCUGGAGCUCAACUCCAGAACUGCCUUUGAUACUGGCGUGCUCGAGUGUGGGAGAGGUUGGUGGAACUCCGAGUGUAGAGGUGAAAUUCGUAGAUAUUCGGAAGAACACCAGUGGCGAAGGCGGCCAACUGGCCCAUUACUGACGCUCAUGCACGACAGCGUGGGGAGCAAACAGG